UACAGGGGGUGCAAACGUUGCUCGGAAUCAUUGGGCGUAAAGCGCGCGUAGGCGGUUACUUAAGUCGGAUGUGAAAUCCCUUGGCUUAACUGAGGAAGUGCAUCCGAAACUGAGUAGCUAGAGUACUAAAGAGGGUCGCGGAAUUCCCGGUGUAGAGGUGAAAUUCGUAGAUAUCGGGAGGAACACCGGUGGCGAAGGCGGCGACCUGGGUAGAGACUGACGCUGAGGCGCGAAAGCGUGGGGAGCAAACAGG
rnacentral:rRNA from 1 species